rnacentral:rRNA from 1 species
UACGGAGGGUGCAAGCGUUAACCGGAUUCACUGGGUUUAAAGGGUGCGUAGGAGGGCAGGUAAGUCAGUGGUGAAAUCUCCAAGCUUAACUUGGAAACUGCCGUUGAUACUAUCUGUCUUGAAUACCGUGGAGGUGAGCGGAAUAUGUCAUGUAGCGGUGAAAUGCUUAGAUAUGACAUAGAACACCAAUUGCGAAGGCAGCUCGCUACACGAAUAUUGACUCUGAGGCACGAAAGCGUGGGGAUCAAACAGG